rnacentral:lncRNA from 1 species
CUGCAUUGCGGAGGCGCAGACACCUCCCAGCCUAAAAGAGGAGCCCGGGAGCGAGCUCACUGAAGGGUCUUCCAUUGUCCCGCCGCUCUUCUGUAAACACUGAAUGUCAAAGUGAGCAAAGUAUCCCUUCCUGAUCCCUCCGCUGCUGACGUGUCUGGAUAGUGUCGAUAUCAGAAAAGCUGUUGGCGGCCCGCUCCCUACCCGCAGGCUCCCUGCUGUCCUUGAGUUAUUAGGCAAACAGACCUUCUAGCGGCUGUGCCACUUCCACGAUUUCAACAGGAGUGUGGCAUGGCUGGGUCCCGCUCUCUGGUGGGUCUG